UUGAACCGCAUGGUUCAAGGAUGAAAGACGGUUUCGGCUGUCACUUACAGAUGGACCCGCGGCGCAUUAGCUAGUUGGUGGGGUAAUGGCUCACCAAGGCGACGAUGCGUAGCCGACCUGAGAGGGUGAUCGGCCACACUGGGACUGAGACACGGCCCAGACUCCUACGGGAGGCAGCAGUAGGGAAUCUUCCGCAAUGGACGAAAGUCUGACGGAGCAACGCCGCGUGAGUGAUGAAGGUUUUCGGAUCGUAAAGCUCUGUUGUUAGGGAAGAACAAGUGCGAGAGUAACUGCUCGCACCUUGACGGUACCUAACCAGAAAGCCACGGCUAACUACGUGCCAGCAGCCGCGGUAAUACGUAGGUGGCAAGCGUUGUCCGGAAUUAUUGGGCGUAAAGGGCUCGCAGGCGGUUUCUU
rnacentral:rRNA from 1 species